CCCCGGCCCAUCCUUCAGCUUAAAGAAAUGUUUCCAUCUCCCUUAUAAAUAGGUUCCUGAACUAGUAUCACUUCGCACACAGAAAAGCAAAACACCAACCCAAGAUCAGAGUAGAUUGUCGUCCGGCAAAAAAGAAAGAAAGAAAGAAAAGCAAGUGAGAUGGUUCUGGGACUUUUCACAUGCUUUGGAGCGGCUCCUGCGAUAAAGGAAAAGAAGCCACCACCUCCAUCUGAAGAACCUAACAAGCAGCAGGCAGCCAGAGAUCAGGAAGCAGCUACUGGCGAAGCGACUGAGCCCAAGAUGCAGGUUGACAGGGCCAUGGUAGUAAAGGAGAAGACAACACCCAUAGUGAUGCAUCAGUUCCCCUUUCAUUCGCGGCCUGGACUGCUGUAAUUUUGCUUGGCUCUUUUUAACGUCAGCGCUUCCGUCUUCUGUCUGAUUUGUGACAUGCAUGGUAUUCGCUUCUCUAGAAGCUUAUAAAGUUAUAUGUUCUUGCUUUCAGAAGUUAGACAAACAUUCAGUAGCAGGGGGAGAGACUGAUAUCUCUGCCUCUAGAGCAAGCUUGUGGUUGUUUCAGUUCUUAAUGCUUCAAGGAUCAAAACAGUAAUAAUUUCUUGUACUAGCUAGGUAUGUAUUCUGAGAAUUUACAUGGCGUUGACGCUGAAUUAGAUCACAAACCAACUAAGACUAGAUCGUUCGAAUCGUCGUGCACCCA
rnacentral:lncRNA from 1 species